AACCAGCACCUCAAGUGGUCAGGAUGAUUAUUGGGCCUAAAGCAUCCGUAGCCUGCUUUGUUAGUUUUCGGUUAAAUCUGUACGCUCAACGUACAGGCUGCCGGGAAUACUGCAAAGCUAGGGAGUGGGAGAGGUAGACGGUACUCUGUAGGAAGGGGUAAAAUCCUUUGAUCUAUUGAUGACCACCUGUGGCGAAGGCGGUCUACCAGAACACGUCCGACGGUGAGGGGUGAAAGCUGGGGGGAGCAAACCGGAUUAGAUACCCGGGUAGUCCCAGCCGUAAACCAUGCAAACUCAGUGAUGCAUUGGCUUGUGGCCAAUGCAGUGCUGCAGGGAAGCCGUUAAGUUUGCCGCCUGGGAAGUACGUACGCAAGUAUGAAACUUAAGGAAUUGGCGGGGGAGCACCACAAGGGGUGAAGCCUGCGGUUC
rnacentral:rRNA from 1 species